GACGAUCACGCAGCCAACUCCAUCCUCUCCAGCUAUUAUAUCGGUAUAAUUUCGGAGCGUCUAUUGCAUAAUCGAUCGCAUAAAAUGGUGCUGAAGGGGGCAGGAGGGUGAAGGGGAAGAAACACGAGGGGAGAAGAAUGGAGUUGUGGAGCAGCCAGGGGGGCGAAAGGGAAGGGAAAGAUGCCGGCUGGCAAGCAGAUGGUUGCCCCGUUUAUUGGUUUAUUCGUUGGUUCAGCCAUGACGUUCCGUCCGGCCAUGAAACAAGCCGGAGACUCUCCUUGUGUUAGAGAAUAUCAAGCAACGAGGCUACAACUGCUCUUCCUAUUAAAACGCAUCCGCGAGCUACUUAUUCGCGUAGUAUAUUUUUCGAUAUGUACUUUGCACCUGAUAUUCCUGAUGCCACGAUGAAUGCAUAUAUAAUACAUCUAUAGGAGGUAAAAAUCUAUAAAUUCUGUAUGUAAGUAACACGAGAAUUUUAAUUAUUUAAAAUUGGUAUCUGUUGUAAGAAUAUGUUAUUUUAUUUUUGUUAACUGCUGUAGUUUAAAAGCAAUGUUAUAUUGACAAGUAUUUCAUUACGCAUUACGUUUAUUGCCACCGUGUGCAUAUACAAUAUUUUAUUACAAAGGUAAUUUAACAUGAAACUUUUAUGUUUACACAUUCGAUAAAGAAAGUUAAUUGUUGUUAAUUAUCAUCUAUAAGAAAUACAUCUAUAAAUUCUGUAUGUAAGCAAGAGAGAAUUUCCUUUAAAAUUGGUAUGUGUUACAAAAAUAUAUUAUUUUGUUUUGCCAACUGUUAUAAUUCAAAAACAAUAUUAUGCUGAUAAGUACUUCUUUAUGCAUGAUGUUGUUAAUUAUAAAUUAUUAACAUAAAAAAGUUAA